AAAGUGCUGCAGCCUUUAAUGUUGCCAGUGCUGGAGAAGCCAGCAGGGCUGAAACUGCUGCAGCCUUUAAUGUUGUCAGUGCUGGAGAAGCCAGCAGGGCUGAAACUGCUGCAGCCUUUAAUGUUGCCAGUGGCUUACAGGCACAGGAUCCAGAAGUAAUUAUAGUGGUCGAAAAUGACAGCCCUUCUUGUGAG